rnacentral:lncRNA from 1 species
CUGCGCGCAGCGGGCGCUGGCGGAGCGGCACCGGGGGCCGGGCGUCUCUCAGCAGCGCCGGGCGCGGGGGAGAAGGCGGCACCGAGCCUGCUCCGGCGGCAGAGAGCUGCAGGGUAGUCUCCACAUAAUCCCAUCCAAAACUUUUUCCUAGAGCCCUUCUCUGCGUCUCCAGGUUUUGUUUUUCUUGGGCUUCGCCCGCCCCCGGCCCGCCAAGCCGGGGCAGCCCCUCACGGCGCGGGGGGAGGACGAGCCCUCCUCGGGCUGAGCCGAGCUGGCCCCUGCCGCUGCCCCCUGCCCGCGGCCGGCUGGAGGCACGACAGGUGCCGGGGCUCCGCGCACAGCCGGCUGCUCGCGGCUCGGGCCUGCCUAAAAGCCAGGCCCCCGGCCUCGGUAACCGGGGCGAGAGGCUCCGCUGAGCUGCCCGGGGCCGUCUGCCCGGGGGUGGUACUGCGGGGAUGGGGCUUGUGGCUGAGGGGCUGGGGUCCUGCAGGUUCUUGCAGCUCUAAGAUCUGGUGCUGGGUUAAACACCUCAUACAGGGCGCUCCCUUGAUCCUGGGAAGUGAAACACGAAGGGAAUGUUUUACAGAAGACUCAAAAGACUCUGAGUGCAGAUGAUUUCUCUUCUGACAGAAGCUGCGGCUUGAGCUACCUUCUAGUGAGACCUGUAGGGCCCACGUAAACAACAGAGCCCCUGCCUUCUUCUCUUUGGCACUUCACAGCUCUUUUUUGCUGAAGUGCUGCAUAUAGCACACUGUCUGCUUUACGCUAUUUGUAAACCAGGCAGGAUCUGUUUUGGUCUUUGUUUCUACUUGGCUUCAGAAGUCAGAACUGAGCUCACAGCAAGGGGUAUCCCCCCAUUACCACUAGUGAGGACUCAAGGACUGACAACAUGAAGCAACCAUUAAGACAGUGUUCAAACAUCCUUGCUGGAGCUGGAAACCUUUCCAGUUGGUUUGGACUCAGGUUUGAACCACGACUAUGUGAUGGGUCAGCGUAACAGGGCUGUGUUUUUUUGUCGUGGCGGUGUUUUUUAAUAGUGACUUCAGCCCCCAUAACUCUGAGGUAGUUUUGGGGACAGGCGGGAAGAACUAUGUAGCCGUGGUCUCACUGUCAGAGAAAGACACGGAAGAGAAACUGAGUCUGCACUACUGGAGUCUUGAGUACACACUACGUAGAUGUCUUAUCCUUUGACCCGGCUCUUUCCAUUAUAUAACUGAGCUGUUUCUUCGCCUCAGCCAAAGUAACCCUUGAGACAGUGAUAAACAUCCCCUCUGUUCCUAAUAAGUGACAUAUUUCUAGUAGCAACUGAAAGCUGUCCAGCCAAGCCGGGCUGUGUUCUGAAAGGCAGGCUUGGAGCAUACCAUAAAUAGCAACCCUUCCCUUACAGAGUGUGAAGAAAUAAAGUGACUGCACAGAACA